rnacentral:lncRNA from 1 species
UUUACUGGUCACCUGCACUAACAGCCUGAGAGAAAAGGACACUGCAUAUCACAGAGAGAUGCAUAGAUGUUACACUCAGAAAGAGAGUGAACAACUAGAAGAUGUGGAAGAAAAUUCCAAGGGCCAAUUUUGAAACAAACCAGGCAGAGACCCAGAUGCAGAAUCCUGCAGGCUGAGGGAUGUUAGGAAGAGUUAGCCCACCACUGCUGCGCUGAAACCAGGAUGACGCAAACUGGGCCUCAGGCCAGAUCAAUAAACCAAACUCCCUGUCACCUCAGACUCUGCACCUGUUAAAGCCCUGUAAAGAGCCGACAUGUAAGGACUUAUACUGACUGGAUACAGAGAAUAUGGAGCAAAUCAAACGUAUUUAAAUAGUAAAUUAUCAUAUUGUUAUAAAUAAAAAUUUACAUUGCA